rnacentral:rRNA from 1 species
CCUACGGGAGGCAGCAGUGGGGAAUAUUGGACAAUGGGCGAAAGCCUGAUCCAGCAAUGCCGCGUGAGUGAUGAAGGCCUUAGGGUCGUAAAGCUCUUUUACCAGGGAUGAUAAUGACAGUACCUGGAGAAUAAGCUCCGGCUAACUCCGUGCCAGCAGCCGCGGUAAUACGGAGGGAGCUAGCGUUGUUCGGAAUUACUGGGCGUAAAGCGUGCGUAGGCGGUUAUUCAAGUCAGAGGUGAAAGCCCGGGGCUCAACCCCGGAACGGCCUUUGAAACUAGAUAACUAGAAUCUUGGAGAGGUCAGUGGAAUUCCGAGUGUAGAGGUGAAAUUCGUAGAUAUUCGGAAGAACACCAGUGGCGAAGGCGACUGACUGGACAAGUAUUGACGCUGAGGUACGAAAGCGUGGGGAGCAAACAGGAUUAGAUACCCUGGUAGUCCACGCCGUAAACGAUGAUAACUAGCUGUCCGGACACUUGGUGUUUGGGUGGCGCAGCUAACGCAUUAAGUUAUCCGCCUGGGGAGUACAGUCGCAAGAUUAAAACUCAAAGGAAUUGACGG